rnacentral:rRNA from 1 species
AUUGAACGCUGGCGGCAUGCCUUACACAUGCAAGUCGAACGGCAGCAUGAUCUAGCUUGCUAGAUUGAUGGCGAGUGGCGAACGGGUGAGUAAUACAUCGGAACGUGCCCUGUAGUGGGGGAUAACUAGUCGAAAGAUUAGCUAAUACCGCAUACGACCUGAGGGUGAAAGUGGGGGACCGCAAGGCCUCAUGCUAUAGGAGCGGCCGAUGUCUGAUUAGCUAGUUGGUGAGGUAAAGGCUCACCAAGGCGACGAUCAGUAGCUGGUCUGAGAGGACGAUCAGCCACACGGGGACUGAGACACGGCCCAGACUCCUACGGGAGGCAGCAGUGGGGAAUUUUGGACAAUGGGCGAAAGCCUGAUCCAGAAAUGCCGCGUGUGUGAAGAAGGCCUUCGGGUUGUAAAGCACUUUUGUCCGGAAAGAAAUGGCUCUGGUUAAUACCUGGGGUCGAUGACGGUACCGGAAGAAUAAGGACCGGCUAACUACGUG